CCAGAUGUGAAGAUAUGGGCUGGGUCGUGGUACUUGUUUUGCAUACAAAAUUGUGAACCUGGGACUGGAGCUCUGGCAGCCCCUUCGCCUCUCCAGGACAGUGCCGGAGACCUACAGAGAAGCUACUGCCCGCCAUGCGUUUCUCUGCGGUCUCUGUGGACCUCGGCCCUCAGAGCACAGGAGAUCUGCAGUGAACUAGAUGGCUGCAUCAGUUUACUCACACCUUCCUUUGAAGGUUUUGUCUCAUCAGUGUGCUUAGCCUUGUGUGCGCUUCAUAAACAAAGUUGAGUCUUUUAUCUUCGUAUCCAUAAUACGAAGUCUAAUAUACAGCAAGUGCUCAAUAGAUUUGUUGACCAAAUAAAUAAAUUAGAAAAAUAGAAAUACACAAAGAAUUCUCUAUAUAUUCUAGAUAAGAACCCUCUGUCUGAGGAGAAGCUGGUAAAGAUGUUUUCCCACAUUGUAGGUUGUCUUUUAGUUCUGGUGAUGGUUUCUUUUGCAGUACAGAAGCUUUUUAUUAAGAUUAUA
rnacentral:lncRNA from 1 species